rnacentral:rRNA from 1 species
UACGUAGGUGGCAAGCGUUGUCCGGAUUUAUUGGGCGUAAAGCGAGCGCAGGCGGUUUGCUAAGUCUGAUGUGAAAGCCUUCGGCUUAACCGGAGAAGUGCAUCGGAAACUGGCUAACUUGAGUGCAGAAGAGGACAGUGAAACUCCAUGUGUAGCGGUGGAAUGCGUAGAUAUAUGGAAGAACACCAGUGGCGAAAGCGGCUCUCUGGUCUGUAACUGACGCUGAGGUUCGAAAGCAUGGGUAGCAAAC